rnacentral:rRNA from 1 species
AAUCAACGCUGGCGGCGUGCCUAACACAUGCAAGUCGAACGCGGUUAGUAGCAAUACUAACUGAGUGGCGAACGGGUGAGUAACGCGUGGGUGACCUACCUUCGAGUGGGGGAUAACGUCCCGAAAGGGACGCUAAUACCGCAUGACAUCCUCUUUUUGAACAGAGAGAGAUCAAAGCCGGGGAUCGCAAGACCCGGCGCUUGAUGAGGGGCCCGCGUCUGAUUAGCUAGUUGGUGGGGUAAUGGCUCACCAAGGCGACGAUCAGUAUCCGGCCUGAGAGGGCGGACGGACACACUGGGACUGAGACACGGCCCAGACUCCUACGGGAGGCAGCAGUGGGGAAUUGUUCACAAUGGGCGCAAGCCUGAUGACGCAACGCCGCGUGGAGGAUGAAGGUCUUCGGAUUGUAAACUCCUGUUGCUCGGGAAGAACAGCUCCGACCUAAUACGUCGGAGUCUGACGGUACCGGGUGAGGAAGCCCCGGCUAACUCUGUGCCAGCAGCCGCGGUAAUACAGAGGGGGCAAGCGUUGUACGGAAUUACUGGGCGUAAAGGGCGCGUAAGCGGCCUGUUAAGUCGAACGUUAAAUCCCUGGG